UACGGGGGGGGCAAGCGUUGUUCGGAAUUACUGGGCGUAAAGGGCUCGUAGGCGGCCAACUAAGUCGGACGUGAAAUCCCUCGGCUUAACCGGGGAACUGCGUCCGAUACUGGAUGGCUUGAGUAUGGGAGAGGGAUGCGGAAUUCCAGGUGUAGCGGUGAAAUGCGUAGAUAUCUGGAGGAACACCGGUGGCGAAGGCGGCAUCCUGGACCGGCAUUGACGCUGAGGCGCGAAAGCCAGGGGAGCAAACGGG
rnacentral:rRNA from 1 species